GGUCCCCGUUGUGAGAUGGAAAGCACACAAGAGUCGUGAGACAGCGAGCGUUUGUUGAUGCCAGGCUAUGGCGAUGCCGUUGAGGUGGGAGUGGAGCAGCCAUCACCACCAGUGAGAUAAGUGUCUAGUUCACUGAAGACUCUGGUAAUGGCCCACCUGCCUCCAGGGUUGGACUGGUCGUUAGCUGUGGCUCAGUUUGUAGGAAGAUUCCUGACUAGCUGUUACGAGGGAGACAAGGUCCGCGUUGUCAGGGGCUGGUCAUUUCUCUGUCCACAAGCACUGUGUCCUACGCAGCAGAGAGUUGGACCGGGGGGGUGACUCCAGCUAGUGAGUUUCUUGACUUCCUCCCACGUUUUUCUGUCUCUCUCCUCUAAUGUGUUGGCCAACACACACUCUGUCUGUCACUCUCUCUGUCCUUGCCUUUUCCUUGUGCUGUCUCCUUUCUUAGGACAUGGGCAGGUGUGGUAGGUGUGCAUCCCCACAGGCUUGGUCUCGGGAGCUAUGAACAAGUAGGAAGGGACCGAAAUCUUGCAGGGUAGUGGGCACUAGAGUGCAACGGUGACUGUGGGUGUUGAUUGAGUCUCUGCUGUAGUGGAGCUGAAGCAGAUGUGAUGGGAGAGGGAGGCAGGGAUGUGGGCAAGAUUUCGGGCACCAAUUGAAUUUUGUGUAGUGAUGGCUUUUGCUUGGGUUACUUGCUGCAUUUGCAGAGGAAUCAUCCAGGAGCAGCAGCCAGAGGAGAAAUCGGCAGACAUGGACCUGAGCAGCCUGGACAUCCUUCUAAGCAGAGAUUAACAGGCCUCAACUUUCUACCUUCCACAUAACUGGGUUACCAAUAGAAAAGAAGUGGAGGGUCAGCGUCCGCUCACCAAAUGCAAUGGAAAGCGAGUGAGAGCGAUGAGAUAGCAAGCAUUACUGAUGCCAGGGAUGGGAAGUGAGAGAGCGUACCUCUCUGUACAUCUCUGGCAAACACUGU